GGAGGGCUGAGUCGGGGUUUAUUCUUAGCCGGGCUACCAUGUUAUUAGCUGAAGUCUCCAGAAGCAGCGCAUGGCCAGUAGCCUUGCGCGGGUAACUGUAAGAGGAUUUAGCAAUCAGAUGACUUCAGAGAAAGACAGAAGGCAAACCCAGGCGUGUGGCCAGGUGGUUGUGCAGUACUGGAGGAAGAACAUUUGAGUUAAUAUUGAAAUGCUUAUUGUGAAACACCAGGAGGAUAAGCCGUUCCAUUUCCUUGAGUCACUUCAUUCUAAUUUGUACAGAUUGUGUCGAGUUGACAGAAGACUAGCCAGCAUAAUAUAGAAUCGUCUCAAAUCUCAAGGAACAUGCCUCAGAAUAGGCCUGUGUAUUUGAAUAUUUAGUCUGCAGAUGAUAGUGCUGUUUGGGGAAGCUUUGGAACCUUUGGGACUGUGGCCUAGCUAGCAGAAGUGGAUCACUGGAGGAACACCUAAAGGCCAUAUCUGCUUCUGAUUAUGGCCUGAGCCCUCUUUUUUCCUGAUCUGCCAAGGUGUGACCAAGCCACACUGCAAUCUCUCUCUACCAUGGACCAAGCUCUUCCAGUCCCCACCAUAAUGGACUGCCCCCUCUGAGACAGUGAGCCAGACUGAAUCUUACUGGGAGUGCUUCAUUCAGGUAUUUGUCACAGCAUGUGAAAAGCUGUCAUCAAAGCAAUGAACUAAUGCUAAGAAGUUUGGGAUGCUUCCAAGUACUCCAAAU